UGUAUUGUGAAUGAAAGGUGAAAAGAAUUCCGUUAGGUAGGUGAAAAGAUCGCCUUCGGGCUGCUUUGAUUGAGUGAAGGCAGCUGAUGUUAUUAUAUAACUUGUUGUGGAAGAAAGAAUUGUUGAUUUUCAUCGACGAGUGCGAAGCGUAGUACACGUCUUUGUUCGUAAAUUUGUUAUUAAAGCCCGAAUCCUAGCGAUCUAAUUAUCGUUUAGUGUAAAUCAAUGCUUGAGUAUACUGAAGAUUGAAAUGUGGAGGGGUACACACCUGCCAUUCAAUCGAUACUUCGUGGUUAAAUGUCAUACGAGCUGUGUUAAUAUCUGGGUGUGUUCGAAAGAU
rnacentral:rRNA from 18 species